GUCCCUAUCGUCUAGAGGCCUAGGACAUCGCCCUUUCACGGCGGUAACCGGGGUUCGAAUCACCGUAGGGACG
rnacentral:tRNA from 1 species